rnacentral:tRNA from 1 species
GUCUUUGAUGGUCUAACGGUCAUGAUUUCCGCUUGUCACGCGGGAGAUCGGGGUUCGACUCCCCGUGAGUACA